GGGGGAUGAUCUGUCCUCGGGUAAAGCUCAUCUCUCCAGAUUACAGCAAGGAUGGGAAUCUGAAGCCCACCACAUCCUUCUUUCCAAGUCAAAGAACGUAACACUGAGAGGGCUCUGAGUGCCAGCAUGUGCAGAGUUGGAACCUCCCACUGACAGCCAGAACGAUGAGCCACUCCCGAAGAGCUGCUCCUACUCAGGACCAAUGCCACACUCCAGGAUUCCCCACCUCCCGUGAAACCAGUGGGAGCAUAUGGCAGGCCAGGAUCUGUGGAUCUUUACAGGCUCUGGACACAUGGCGAACACACAUCCCCAGAAAGAGCCCAGCUCCCACUCAGGCAUCACAGAUCUGUCUGCUGUUGCCUGAAAGCCCCUGGAGAAAUCCCACACCCCGGGGAUUUCUUAAACCUUUGAUUAACUGGGAUGCUAUCCUGUACUUCAAAGAAAAGAGGAAUAUCCAAGUAACAACACAAGCUCAUCCCCAGAACCAGGCCAGCUGCAGCUCUCAGGAGGUAGCCACACCCGGGCUAGUGCCACUGGCAGCUGCACCAAAGGUGUAUGAGCGGUCACAUGAUAACCUGAACGCUGAGGCCCAAGGACUGGCAGGUGCUCAGGUGUCGAAACCACAGAAUCCCAUUACCAGGCUCUGUUCUCUGAAGGAACAGUCAAUCUUGAAGAUCUUCACUAAGCAGAGCAUCUGAGGUUUACCGGCUUGAAGACCCAGCAAACUAAGAGUUCAGCAAACCAGAAUAGCCUCUCUGGAGGGCACCCGUGCCUCUGCCGGUGCUGGACCCUGCGGGUCCCUGGUCUAUGAGCUUCCCCAGAAACCCUCCAAUCUCAUCCACGCAGCUGCCAGAAUGAAUGUUCAAAGAUAAGAACCUGAGCACAGUGGCUGGGGGUUUCGCACACCCCUGGGACUCGACCCCAAGCUUCUCCUUCUCAGCACUGCAGCCCAAGCCGCCCUGCCCUUCCUCCCAAUGCCACUACUUGUCACUGCACCUUGGAUUCCAGGCCGGCCCUUCUGCUGCCCUCUCUGAAUGCCCGGCCUCAAUCUAGCCUCCUCCUCAUCCCGCGAGACAUGGCUAAAACAUCACCUCACCCUGGAGGCCUCCCCUGACCCCUAUAAGGGGACAGGUCCCUACAGCAGCCCAGGCUUCCUCUUGAUAAUGUGAAUGUUAAUUACUUUAAUUAAGACUUUAAAUUACUCCUCUAAAAUCUGUCUUCCGUGCUACAACCACAAACUCCAAGAGGACAGGGAUCAGGCUUUCCUUGUUCUCCUGCCCCACUCCCACAGCACAGGGCCAGGAGAUGCUCUGUCAACACUGGCUGCGUUGAACCGAAGUCAUCUCCCCACCGCAGCGCUCUGCACCACACCCAGCACCAGGGCAGGUGCUCCAUGAAGGGCCGCGUGAAUGACUCAACUUCAGCCCCAUAAGGAAUCUGGACAGCACACCACGCAAGUUAAACGCUUCUUUACAACAUAAUGAAAGGCGGACUUGGACUGUACUAAUGAACAUUCCCCAAACCUAGGAAGCUAGAUCUAAAAAGGACUACAAAUGCAAUAAUCACAUGUGAAAUCCAGGACCGAACUUCUUUUUUUUUUUUUUUUUUGAGAUGGAGUCUCAUUCUGUCACCCAGGCUGGAGUGCAGUGGCGCGAUCUCGGCUCACUGCAACCUCCGCCUCCCAGUCUCAAGCGAUUCUCCUGCCUCAGCCUCCCGAGUAGCUGGAACUACAGGUGCAUGCCAGCACGCCCAGCUAAUUUUUUGUAUUUUUAGUAGAGACGGGGUUUCACCAUGUUAGCCAGGAUGGUCUCAAACUCCUGACCUCGUGAUUCAUCUGCAUCAACCUCCUUAAGUGCUCGGAUUACAGGCGUGAGCCACAGCGCCUGGCCCAAACAUUUUUAUAUGUCCACUUAAUAGUUGACUGACAGAAAUAAAUGGUAUGUUUUACACA
ensembl:lncRNA TBC1D22A-AS1 TBC1D22A antisense RNA 1